rfam:Schistosoma mattheei strain Denwood, Zambia genome assembly, scaffold: SMTD_scaffold0001858
GCACUGCUGAGGAGUCCCAUACUAGGACGAAACGCCCGUCCAGUGC